rnacentral:rRNA from 1 species
GGAAGUACUUCGGCAAUGGGGCGAACCCUGACCGAGCAACGCCGCGUGAGUGAAGAAGGUCUUCGGAUCGUAAAACUCUGUUGUUAGAGAAGAACACGAGUGAGAGUAACUGUUCAUUCGAUGACGGUAUCUAACCAGCAAGUCACGGCUAACUACGUGCCAG